rnacentral:rRNA from 1 species
GGGUCAGUAGGUUGGUCGUGCCACCGGUACGUACUGGUCUCACUGACUCCUCCUUCCUGAAGAACCGUAAUGCCAUUAAUUUGGUGUUGCGGGGAAACAGGACUGUUACUUUGAAAAAAUUAGAGUGUUUAAAGCAAGCUAACGCUUGAAUACAUUAGCAUGGAAUAAUGAAAUAGGACGAUCGAUCCUAUUUUGUUGAUUUCUAGGAUUGACGUA